CUGGGACUGAUUGUCUUCAAGCUGAGCACACACUGAGCACUGGGCCUGCCUUCUUCCUAACACAGACCUCAGUCUACUGACAGCAUGAACAGAAAGAGAGGGUCUCUUUCUGCUGGUGCUUCGGUUUGAGAACCAGUGCUCCUGACUUUGGUUGGCCAUUGGUGUCUGUCUGAAGAGGGUCUCCACUGCCCCCAGGCAUGUUCCUUCUCUCACUGCUGCCCCCUGGGAUGGAAACUCGACAUCCCCUCUUUCCCUUCCUACUGGCACCAACGGUACCAGAGCAAACCCCACAAUCUCCAUGCCUACAUUUCUUUGACAUCCACCUGUCACCAUCUUUGGAGGAUUCAAGUGAAGUUCUUUGUCUUUUAUGGGACAGAGAUGAUUCUCCACUCCAGAGGGUCUGGAGUGAUUAUAGGAAUGUAAUCGCCUUGAACAAUCAGCGUGUUUUACAGCCUACUGCCCUGCAUUUUGUGUGGAAUGCAGUUGUCUUAUUGCUUGGAACCAGCUCUCAGUAGACCUCAGCAGCUUAUAGACAAACCCGAGUGAACUUUCCUCAUGACCAUGCUAGUGUCUCCAUCCUGGGAUGAGCCACAGCUUCAUCACCAUAACAUGCAACCUAUGUGCUGGUGUGAUGACUCGCUGUGUCUGCACCACUGAGGCUCCUCCUCCACAUGCCAUGACGCGUCCUCUCUUCUCUCCAUCUCCCCAUGAAGUCCUCCUGUCACUUUCCCUCAGGGAGACAUGGCUUUGGAGAGUACUCCCAACAGCAUGCUUAUUUGUGCCAAGUAAUAAAACUCCUGUUGAUCAAACCUACAGUCUCAAGGAGAUUGAUUUCUUACUUGCCAAGCAAAAGAACCUGGG
rnacentral:lncRNA from 1 species